AUGGUCCGUCACGGGAUGUCAGUGUCGGCGCGGGGUUUUAUAGUUCAGUUUAGUGACAUCGAUAUUAAAACUGGCCUGUAAAGUCCCGCUCUGAUUUUGACCGAGUCGACAGCAUAGACG
rnacentral:precursor_RNA from 14 species